UACGAAGGGGGCUAGCGUUGCUCGGAAUUACUGGGCGUAAAGGGCGCGUAGGCGGAUAGUUUAGUCAGAGGUGAAAGCCCAGGGCUCAACCCUGGAAUUGCCUUUGAUACUGGCUAUCUUGAGUUCGGGAGAGGUGAGUGGAAUGCCGAGUGUAGAGGUGAAAUUCGUAGAUAUUCGGCGGAACACCAGUGGCGAAGGCGACUCACUGGCCCGAUACUGACGCUGAGGCGCGAAAGCGUGGGGAGCAAACAGGGAU
rnacentral:rRNA from 1 species